rnacentral:rRNA from 1 species
ACGUGAGUAACCUGCCCUUGACUCUGGGAUAAGCGUUGGAAACGACGUCUAAUACCGGAUACGAGCUUCCACCGCAUGGUGAGUUGCUGGAAAGAAUUUUGGUCAAGGAUGGACUCGCGGCCUAUCAGCUUGUUGGUGAGGUAAUGGCUCACCAAGGCGACGACGGGUAGCCGGCCUGAGAGGGUGACCGGCCACACUGGGACUGAGACACGGCCCAGACUCCUACGGGAGGCAGCAGUGGGGAAUAUUGCACAAUGGGCGAAAGCCUGAUGCAGCAACGCCGCGUGAGGGACGACGGCCUUCGGGUUGUAAACCUCUUUUAGCAGGGAAGAAGCGAAAGUGACGGUACCUGCAGAAAAAGCACCGGCUAACUACGUGCCAGCAGCCGCGGUAAUACGUAGGGUGCAAGCGUUGUCCGGAAUUAUUGGGCGUAAAGAGCUCGUAGGCGGUUUGUCGCGUCUGCUGUGAAAUCCCGAGGCUCAACCUCGGGUCUGCAGUGGGUACGGGCAGACUAGAGUGCGGUAGGGGAGAUUGGAAUUCCUGGUGUAGCGGUGGAAUGCGCAGAUAUCANGAGGAACACCGAUGGCGAAGGCAGAUCUCUGGGCCGCUACUGACGCUGAGGAGCGAAAGGGUGGGGAGCAAACAGGCUUAGAUACCCUGGUAGUCCACCCCGUAAACGUUGGGCGCUAGAUGUGGGGACCAUUCCACGGUUUCCGUGUC